rnacentral:lncRNA from 1 species
GGUGUCUCACAGCAUAUGGAGUUCCUGGGCCAGGAAUCAGAUCCAAGUCACAGCUUCGACUUAUACCACAGCUGCAGCAAUGCUGGAUUUUUAACCUACUGUGCUCGGCAGAGGAUCAAACCUGAGUCCCAGUGCUCCAGAAAUGCCACAGGUCCCAUUGCACCAUAGCAGGAACUCAGAAACUCCCCAGCUUCUAAUUUCUCCCUGGAAGGGAUUUGACUUCAUAUCUAAUGUCCUGGCAUUCCCAGCUGCUGCUGGAAGGUUGAGCUUCUUACUAGCAUGCAUCUGGAAGCUGAUGGUACAGGAAAUUAAUAGUCUUUCAGGAUCCCGAACAGAAUUCUCCAAAGUAUCACUGGCUGCCCCAGCACCUAGCAGUUGGAACAGGGAAUCAACAUUUGGGAGCUGAUGGGCUCCAUAUACUAGGGUAAGUCACUCUGGUGUGUACAACCAGAAACUUUAUUUCCUUUCUACUUGGGCCUUUUAUUCCAGAAUAAGCCAAUAUGUUUUAUAUUUGAGUGGGGUACCCUACUGGAAACAGGAAAGAAUUGUUGGACGUUUACCCCAUUCGUGAACUUGUUCUUUCGUUUCUUUUCUUUUUUUUCUUUUGUUUCUUUAGAUGCUAGCAUUUGUGUGUACAGUUUGCAUUUUGCUUGUCUUGAAUUUGUCUUUAAAAAUAGGGAAUGCUUCAGGAGUUCUCUCUUGGCUCAGUGGAUUAAGGAUCCACCUUUGUCACUGCUAUGGCUCUGGUCACUGCUGUGGUGCAGGUUCAAUACCAGGCUCAGAACUUGUGCAUGCUGCAAGUGUGGCCAAAAAAUGGGGAAUGUUUCAAAUAUCCCUAAAUUCCUCUGAGGUGCAUUUUGGAUAAGUGAUCUGGUUACAGCUGUGAACGCAUUGGUGAGAGGAAGAUGAUUUUAUUGUAAUAAUGUGUUGCCGCAGUAUCAGUUAGGAACACUACAGGGGCCUUAGGCAGGGUUAUUUUGAACCCUGUGCACCAUGUACUGCUGUUCGUACAUGGUUUGCUAUUUAAUUGCAUCGUUUGUUGUCUCCUGUGACAUUGGUAUAUAUGUAAAACUCCAAGACCAAACUAGAGGGCAUAUUUAGGAUUUUCUGUUUGUCCUUUGGGUGUCUUGUUUCAUUUUUUUGUUUGCUUGUUAAUAUUUCUUCAUUUACAACCAAAUCAGCAUUGUGAUAUUUAAAACUCUUACUGAUGUCAAAUGGAGGAAAGGGACAGAAAAAAGAAAAACAAAACUCUGUCUCUUCUAGUCCAAGACUGGGACAUUCCCAGGAAGAAGAGAAAGUUUCCACUUGGUUCCCAUAAUCACCAAAAGCAACAAAUAGAAAUGUCUUUUCCAUUAGAUGGCUAAACCCUUUAUACUAAUAUUAAACAGGUGACUGUGAUGUGUUCUAUUGGGCAGAAACCAAAUUUGAAUCCAAUAUCGUUUGUAACUGAUGGGUUUUACACUAUUGUACUGGAUUCAUGGCUGAAGUUUUGGAAUGGGAACUGUGAGGAUCCUAUGUUUGUAUGUUUACAUAUAUGAUAGAUGUACGGCAUUUCCAAAUUUGCAAAAAAGAUCUCUAUUUAAUUGGCUUAAAGGAAAUUAAGCACUUAUAUAAAUACUCGAAUAUAUGUUAAUAAUCAAAUUUAAAAGAAACUAGCCAAAAUGAAUUUUGAGUUCACAUGAUCUAGGAAGUAUUCAGUAUUAGUUAAUGUAUGAAUUAAUUAAAGUAUGAAUAUCUGGUCUUAAAGUUAGCUUAAGCUUGUUGGUUUCAUUAAUUACAGGCGUCUUUUUAGAGUCAUUAAGUAUAAUACUUUCAUUAUACCUGGGUUUACUAGAAAUCGUAUAUCAUUAUUCCUCUUACAAAGUUUGUAAGCAAGAAAAAAAUAUGACAAAGCUUUUUAAGUAAGUAAAAUAGAGGUAAAUGAGGUAGGAGUUUUAAGUAAACUCUAUAGGAAUAAUUAUGUUUUGGGAAUGUAUGAAAUAGUUUUUCCAGAUUUUUAUAACUUUAAGUUAAAUGAAGAUAAUUCAUUGACUACCUGGGUCAUUUCAAAUAGGAUAAAAUACUAGGACACUAAUUGCUGGGCAGGUCUGAUAUCUUUGCCUUCUCAGGAGAGGAACACUGACACAUAAGUUUGUCAAUCAGGAAAUGCUGGUAUGGCAGGUUAUAAUUACUUGCCUCUUGGUUUUCACUAGAGAUUAAGGCUUUAAGGUUACGACCUAGGAGAAACAUUUCAGUAUGCAAUGAUGUAGGAUAUGUGUUUUUAGCAAAGAAGGUAUGAGAAAUGCAAAUGCAUUUUGUUAAAGGGAAAAAGGUAGUUCUGUCCUACAGCUGGUUGUUUCUGAAUGGAAAAGAACGGGAGGAACAGAUUAUAGAUACAGAAAGUUGUAGAAAGUUUGUGGAGGAGGAACACUGAAAGAGUUUUGUGCAUGGUCAGGACUGGCUAAGAUUGAGAUUAAUUCAGAAAAAGAAUUUUAAAGGUAAAGGGGUACAAAACAUGAUUUUGUUUCUCUAAGAGGACAAAGUUGUCUUUAAAUAUUGAAGUGCUUUUAGUAAUGGAUUGUUUCCUCAAAUCAUCUGUAUUUGCCAGUGGUCUCUUAUUAUCACUUGUUAAAACUUUUUGAUAUUUUUGACAAAAAACUUCU